UGGACAGUAGUGUGAGGACAAGGUGACAAAAACAAAAUGGUCAGCAAGAAGUGUUUCAGGAUGGAACGCUGGGAUAAGAACCAGAGCAAAAACAAUCACAUUUAGAAGAUAAAACCGCAGGAACCUGCACUCUAAAAUCUGAAAACUACUACUUUAGAAGGACACUUGAUCCAAAAUUUUAUGGGACCAUGGAGAAUAAUCUGGAAGCACCAUAGUGAAAAAGAGGAAAACAACAGAAUCAGGAUGAUACAAAUUUGGAGUUCCACUGCUGGAGUUCCACUCUCUAAUCUAGCAAUUAUUUCCUGUGUGGACUCAGCCUCUUUUUGCAGGAGCCCAGGCUUUCCUCCUUGUUGACGUCACCCUUAAAAAAGGAUUUGAGGGACACCUAGGUGGCUCAGUCUGUUGAGCAUCCGACUUCAGCUCAGGU